CUGCCUAAUUGAAUUAUGAGCUCCCUCGAAGGAACACCGCCCAUAGCCAGGAAUGAUCAGUUCUUAUUGUCUAGCUUGAACAAAACAACUUCGAUAUAUUCCCUUAAAUCAAUCGUUUUACGCACCAAGAAUUCUAGUGUUCUCCCUUGAAACAUUGUUCUUUUUCUACAGAAACCCACACACACGCUCACGUAGGUGUUCUGUUGCCUGGAUCCAAAAUCUGCAUCCGUUCCAUUGGGAUUUCAUCUUCUCCUGCCUGACGGUGCUGGGGGCUCUGCCUGUCUCCAGCACUCCAGACCCUCAGCUACCACCAUCACCUGGGAACCCUGGUCGAUUCAAGCUUCACGAAGAGACUGUAUCCGUCUAUAGAAGAUCCACCAGAUACCGACGGACCGAGGGACAAACUCCACCCGUGUCCAUAUCCACUUUGCCUCUACUGGCUCUGACACUUUACUAUGGACGACGUAUCCGAGAACACUUAUUCUCUGCCGCUUUUAAAAACUCACACACCUUAAUCUGGAACAAUGCUUGUUAUGUACCCUAUGGAUCUCGUCAACUUUAUAACCAAGACUUUUAAUUUCUCACAACCCAAGCUUGACCCCAGACCUACAGUGCCUUUCCUUUAAACCUGUGUAACGCAAACUUGAUUCCAAACAUUAGAUUUAAUAAAAAAAAUGAAUAGCCACCA